rnacentral:rRNA from 1 species
GACGAACGCUGGCGGCGUGCCUAAUACAUGCAAGUAGAACGCACAGUUUAUACCGUAGCUUGCUACACCAUAGACUGUGAGUUGCGAACGGGUGAGUAACGCGUAGGUAACCUGCCUGGUAGCGGGGGAUAACUAUUGGAAACGAUAGCUAAUACCGCAUAAUAUUGAUUAUUGCAUGAUAAUUGAUUGAAAGAUGCUAUUGCAUCACUACCAGAUGGACCUGCGUUGUAUUAGCUAGUAGGUGAGGUAACGGCUCACCUAGGCGACGAUACAUAGCCGACCUGAGAGGGUGAUCGGCCACACUGGGACUGAGACACGGCCCAGACUCCUACGGGAGGCAGCAGUAGGGAAUCUUCGGCAAUAGACGAAAGUCUGACCGAGCAACGCCGCGUGAGUGAAGAAGGUUGUCGGAUCGUAAAGCUCGGUUGUAAGAGAAGAACGGGUGUGAGAGUGGAAAGUUCACACUGUGACGGUAUCUUACCAGAAAGGGACGGCUAACUACGUG